CGCGCACGCCACUAUUGUGCAUGUAGUAUAUAUCAGAGUCGUUUUCUCUCUUCUUUCGAUGGUCUUCUUCUCUAGGGGUGUAGAGGAUUUUUACUACACACAUUCAAUUGAGGAGUAAAAGUUGUACAAUAUCUUAUAUGGAUGGAUGGACCAGGUACUAUAACAUGGGAAGAAUUUGUUGAGAAUGCGAAAAGUUUUGCCCGAGUUUCAGAUGAAAUUUUGGACAGUUGGGAACUCCGUGGUGACAAGGAUGUACCUGCUCAGGCUUAUUUAGCACGUCGGGUAAAGACCUUUGUAACACGAGACUACUUAGAUUAUCAGGAUAAUGUCGAAUCUACAAAAAAAUUAAUUAAAAAGGAUGGGCUUAAUGAUGAUGAUGACUUAAAUGCUGUUGAUGAUCCUUUCGAAGCUAAAAACAAUUUAGAAGUCCCAUUUAUCACGGAACAUCACAUACUUUGGUCCAUGAGUUAUAGCGUACCUGUACUAUUCUUCAAUGCUUGGAUCUCUGACUUUCCGGGAGUCAAUCCUAUUAACGUCGAGUUAGCACACAAGCUUGUACAUCACAAUGAUACGAGUCUGGGAUAUACCGAGUUGUCACAGGCGAUUCAUCCGAUUCUCGGUACGCCGUUUCUUCAGCUUCAUCCUUGUAUGUCGAAGGAAUUAAUUCAAAAUACAUCAAAGAGCAAAAAUAAAUUGGUAAGCUGGCUCAGCGCUGUGUCACCUGCUGCAUUAAAUCUACAAAUUGGAAAUGAGUAUUUCAAGCUAACGAAUUCCGAUUAUUAGUUAAUAAUUACUGGAAUUAUUAUGCUGAUAAAAAAUUUUAGUAUCUGAUAAUUCUUUUGAUCAGUUAAAUUGAUUUUAUAAUUAAUUGAAUAAUAUAUUACUCAUAUAGGAAUAUAUGUCAUAGAAGAUCAGAUAUACAUAUAAAUAAAUCAAUCAUUCAUUGCUCUUUCUACAUAUGUACAAAAUAGUACCAGGACAACCGCCAUCGAUGCGUUUGCAAAUGAUGAGAUUAUUGAUCCUAUGAGUGAAUGCGCGUGUCUGUUUUAUCAUUAUACAUAUAUUUGUUACGUGAAUAGAAUCCUGCACUUAGAUUUUUGAAUUACAUGCUGAUAGAUUUGACACAGAACUUUUAUUUUUCAAAUGAAUUCAAACAAUUGCAUUGUGUUACUGUGAACUUAUAUUCUAUUGAAAAAAAAACCGCGAAUAAAAUCAUCUCUUCUCACAGUCAUUACAUUAA
rnacentral:misc_RNA from 1 species